rnacentral:rRNA from 1 species
UACGAAGGGGGCUAGCGCUGUUCGGAAUCACUGGGCGUAAAGGGCGCGUAGGCGGCUUUUCAAGUCGGGGGUGAAAGCCUGUGGCUCAACCACAGAAUUGCCUUCGAUACUGUUAGGCUUGAGACCGGAAGAGGUGAGUGGAACUGCGAGUGUAGAGGUGAAAUUCGUAGAUAUUCGCAAGAACACCAGUGGCGAAGGCGGCUCACUGGUCCGGUUCUGACGCUGAGGCGCGAAAGCGUGGGGAGCAAACAGG